GAUGAACGCUGGCGGCGUGCCUAACACAUGCGAGUCGAACGGAAAGGCUCCUUUGGGGGUACUCGAGCGGCGAACGGGUGAGGAACACGUGUGUAACCUGCCCUUAACUUCGGGAUAACCUUAGGAAAGGGGGACUAAUACCGCAUAGGAUAUUUAGUUGCAUGGCGGGGGUUGGAAAGCUUCGGUGGUUUGGGAUGGACUCGCGGGGUAUUGGCUUGUUGGUGGGGUAACGGCUUACCAAGGCGUUGAGGGUUAGCGGGCCUGAGAGGGGGACCGGCCACACUGACACUGAGCUACGGCCCAGACGCCGACGGGAGGAAGCAGUGGGGAAUAUUGCACAAUGGGCGCAAGCCUGAUGCAGCAACGCCGCGUGCAGGAUUACGGCCUUCGUGUUGUAUACCGAUUUCAGCAGGGGCGAGGCUUGUGGUGACGGUACCUGAAGAAGAAGCACCGGCUAACUACGUG
rnacentral:rRNA from 1 species